AUGUCUUCGUCCGGCUAUGUGGAUGUUCCUCGGUGCUCGGUGAUCUUUGAUGGCACCAAUUAUGCUGAGUUUGUGGGUUUCAUGCGUAUCCACAUGCGCGGACUUCUGUUUUGGGGUGUUCUCUCUGGCGAGGUCUCCUGUCCGCCAUGCCCUGUUGCUCCUGUGGCUCCUGUUCCGCCGGUACCGCCGGUGCUUACUGCUGAUGCUUCUCAGGCUGAUCGGGAUGCAGCCAAGGCUCUUGAUGCUGCUGCAGUUGCUGCCUAUGAUCAGCAGGUAUCCGCCUAUUCUGAUGCUCUUUCUGUCUACCGGGAUGAUCUGUCUGCUUACACUCAGUGGUGCAAUGAUGAUGCUCGUGCUGUUGCUGUCCUCACUGCGAGUGUUCUCCCUCAGUUUGCUUCGGAGUUCAUGGGUCUCGGCACUGUUGCAGCGAUGUGGGCCUAUCUCUGUCAACGCUAUCAACCCUCUGGCAAUGCUCUAUACCUCUCUGUAGUGCGUCAGGAGCAUGCUCUUCAGCAGGAUGGCUCGUUUGUUGAUGAGUUCUACUCUCAGUGCUCUGCCAUCUGGCGUCAGCUUGACUCCCUGCGGACAGUUGUUUGUGGCACUUGCCGUUGUUGCCAGACUACGAGGUCUGACUUGGAGUUUCAGAGAGUUCAUGAGUUCUUAUCUCGCCUCCGGUCUGAGUUUGAGCCUCGCCGUGCUCACUUGCUCGCUCGUGGUCGUGUUCCUAUUUCGGAGGUGCUUGCAGAGCUUCGCGCUGAGGAGACACGCCUCUGGUCUGCUGGUCUGCUUGUGGUUCCUUCCGUUCUUGCUGCCCAUGCUCCUGUGCUCUCUGCUCCACCACUUCUGCCCACACCUCCAGGGGGGCGGGUCACCCUUCCUCAGGAGAGGGUCGGUCGCGCUCGCACACCUUCUGUGGCUACUGUAACCGGCCAGGUCACCCAGAGUCAGGUUGUCACAAGAAGCGAAGAGACAUGA
rnacentral:rRNA from 1 species